rnacentral:lncRNA from 1 species
AUUACUAAUUUUCUUCUUUCCCCCACAUGAACUUAAACUUUUCAACAAAAGUAGGCACAUCACUCACUAUAAAUACCACAUGCAUUCUUUUACUUAAAUCACAUCCAUAACUAAUAAUAUUACUGAUUAAAUAUCUCAUAAAAAUAAGAAAAAUGAAAAUGAUGAAAUUUUUUGUGCUUGUUGUAACUAUUUUAGCAUUGUUGCUAAGUGUAGCAAAUGCACAACAAUGUGGAAGUCAAGCUGGUGGAGCUUUGUGUGCCAAUGGGUUAUGUUGUAGUCAAUAUGGUUAUUGUGGCACUACUCCUGAUUACUGUGGACAGGGAUGCCAGAGUCAAUGCAACUAAAUUAUGUUUUGUGUGUACGUUCUAGCUUGAAGGCUAUGAUAAUAAUAAGGUAAUAUAUAUCCAUGUGGUUGUGUGUUUAAAAUAUAUAAAUUUGUAUUACUAGAAUAAAGUGGGAACAUGUAUGUACUGUGAGUUAAUUCCACAAGAACAAGAAUAUAGUGUCUGGUCAUGAACACUAUAUAUGUACUAGCUUGUUUGUUUUCUAUUUCAAUGUGAUGUUUAUUAAGAAUGGUCAAAAACCACUUAAUAAAAAUGUCCACUAAUUAAGUAUUAUUAGAUUCAUCCAAAUAAUUUUAUUUUCCAUAUCAUGUUUUCAGCCAUGUGUUAAACAUAUAUAUCAAAUAAAUAGUCCAAUUCAAAUUAGAAAGAAGCAACGUGCAAGUCAAAUAACAAAUAGACCAGACUUUAACACAUAAAACAAUUCAUAGUCAACAAGUAUAAUUAUCAUAUGAUCAACUAUAUCAAUAAAGAUCGUCCAGUCAUUCAAUACUCACUGUUAGGAUCGAAAAUAAUUAGAUGUAAUGCGAAAGUUAACAAAGCAAACUUCGAUAGACCUCGAUAGAUCACGCGCGAGUAAGAAGACAAACAAGAAAUAUAUCAAAAGACACAAAGAUUUAACGUGGUUCGGUCAAUCAAUCUACGUCCACAAAGAAAUGAAAAAUUCACUAUAUAAAUAUGAGAGUACAAAAAUUCACUAUAUAAAUCGGUCAUAUCUAUAUUCUUGUUCAGAAUAUUCAUAGCUCAGUUAUACAUUGUUCAACCUUUAUACUUUGUUCAACUUAGCAUAUCUCUAUACUGCAUGCUUAGUACAUUCAAACACAUACUUUGCGCUAUAUCAUUUCAUGAUGUAGGUCACGACACUCAGCAUUCAGAUUAUGCAUAGAUUAAUCCUCGGUUCAACUUCAGCAACUUCUGUAGUGAGUCCAGCUCAUAUUUCCAGGACAAUAGACAUGCUUUCUAUUUUACUCUUUACUUCAAUUUUAAGUUUUGCAAGAGUUAGUUGGGGGCAUGUCCUUUCAAACUUAUAGUCAGUGUUGAGUUGUUUCCCCUAUAUAUUCAGAUAAAUUUUCAUUAGGAUUCAAAUUAGUUUUGUCUCAUUUUUUAGUUAUGUUAAUGCUUUCCUAGUUAUAUUUUUCAGUAUGGUUGUUAUAUGCCAGAUUGAGGAUUAUCUUGGGGUCACUCGUGAUCCUAGGUCCCGUAAAACGUAUAGGGAUAGCCUCGGAGCAUGACAAGGAAGGUGCUUAGGUAGCUUCUCUAUGCAAGGCGGCAACGUCUCCUAGUAAACCAUGUAUUUCUCCAUACUUGCAAUGGUUUCCCUGAAUAUCGGCUCCCCCUUCUUGAGCCCCUUGACUAAUUGCAUAGCCAAAAUAUGUGCUUGGCUAUGUUUGUGUGGCAUAGCCACUGUAGGCACCAUGCAAGAUCCUUCUUGUUUUAUGACCAAGAGACACUAGUGUAGGGGCCGAUCAUGGCAUGAAAAUCCAAUGAAAGAAUUUAUCGCAUGACUAUAUCUGCAUUCACACGCACCAGCUGUAUGAGGUUGGAGAUGACAGAUGGGAACUGGCUAGGUCUAUCAUCUAUGUAUUAUAUCUGGAUCGCUUGAUCGUAGGUGAUCGAAGAAAAAAUCAAAUGAAAGUAAAUUGUAUCACAUGACUAUAUCUUCAUAUCUAAAAAUCCUACCGAUAAGCCAUUGAAGAAAAUUAUUAUCUGGUUGAAAUUGUUAUGUCAGCACAAAAAAUGUAAAAAACUAAAAUCAUAAAAUUUGAGUUCGGAGGGAAAUGUUGUUGAAAUUUCAAUCAUAAUUUAAUGGGUACUUAUGUCUUAUUCCAAUUUCUCCGUAAGAUAAUUUUUCUGGCUUAGCAGCCUGAACAUUAUCUAUGUGAAGAAAUUUCAACGUUACAAAUAUGGUAGUGUUGUGAUUCUACUUCAUCUCUUCUUCUCCCUAUUAUAGUAAAAACCACCUCUUUGAGAUAAGAGCCUUGAAAAUAUUAUUAUUUCCUAAGAUUUCAAUUUGUCCUUUGCACUAAUGUUGUGGAAAAUAAGAAAAUGUCUAGAAACAUUAAUUUUUAAAAAUUAAUAAUACGUGUCGACUUAUGUUUGUCAAUUAAUUUUUAAAAAAUAAUAAUGUGUUUGUUAUGUUUUGCAUUAAAAAUAAAAACAUAAGAUUCUUUAACUUAGUAUUAACUCACAUUUAGAUUUUUCUAUUUUAGGUGUGCACAAGUAAACACAUGUAUCAUAUAAUACACGUAUGAUGUCAUAUAGGAUUCUAUGUAGGAUGUGAAUUGUCAUGUAGGACGCUAAGUAGUAUCUGAGUGUCUACUUGUUAAUUCUAUAAUAGUUUAAAUGUCUAUUGUGCACAUUCAAAAUUAGUGGGUAUAUAUGUCAAAUGAGAUCAAGAUAAAGGCACGUUUGUAUAUUAUAUCUAAUAUAGAAGUAUUACUUAUAUGAGAAAAUAAAACAAAUAAAAAUAUCAUUCUCACACAUUACUAAUACACAUUACUAAUUUUCUUCUUUCCCCCACAUGAACCUAAACUUUUCAACAAAAGUAGGCACAUCACUCACUAUAAAUACCACAUGCAUUCUUCUACUUAAAUCCCAUCCAUAACUAAUAAUAUUACUGAUUAAAUAUCUCAUAAAAAUAAGAAAAAUGAAAAUGAUGAAAUUUUUUGUGCUUGUUGUAACUAUUUUAGCAUUGUUGCUAAGUGUAGCAAAUGCACAACAAUGUGGAAGUCAAGCUGGUGGAGCUUUGUGUGCCAAUGGGUUAUGUUGUAGUCAAUAUGGCUAUUGUGGCACUACUCCUGAUUACUGUGGACAGGGAUGCCAGAGUCAAUGCAACUAAAUUAUGUCUUGUGUGUACGUUCUAGCUUGAAGGCUAUGAUAAUAAUAAGGUAAUAUAUAUCCAUGUGGUUGUGUGUUUAAAAUAUAUAAAUUUGUAUUACUAGAAUAAAGUGGGAACAUGUAUGUACUGUGAGUUAAUUCCACAAGACCAAGAAUAUAGUGUCUGGUCAUGAACACUAUAUAUGUACUAGUUUGUUUGUUUUCUAUUUCAAUGUGAUGUUUAUUAAGAAUGGUCAAAAACCACUUAAUAAAAAUGUCCACUAUUUAAGUAUUAUUAGAUUCAUUCAAAUAAUUUUACUUUUCAUAUCAUGUUUUCAUCCAUGUGUUAAACAUAUAUAUCAAAUAAAUAGUCCAAUUCAAAUUAGAAAGAAGCAACGCGCAAGUCAAAUAACAAAUAGAUCAGACUUUAACACAUAAACAAUUCAUAGUCAACAAUUAUAAUUACCACAUAAUCAACUAUAUCAAUAAAGAUCGUACAGUCAUUCAAUACUCACUGUUAGGAUCGAAAAUAAUUAGAUGUAAUGCGAAAGUUAACAAAGAAAACUUCGAUAGACCUCGAUAGAUCGCGCUCGAGUAAGAAGACAAACAAGAAAUGUAUCAAAAGACACAAAGAUUUAACGUGGUUCGAUCAAUCGAUCUACGUCCACAAAGGAAUGAAAUAUUCACUAUAUAAAUAUGAGAGUACAAAAUAUAGAGAGAAUUUAUUACAUCAAUCAAUUCACUAGGAAUACAAGGGAGGUUCACACAAGUGAUAACGUAUUAAACUUGUGUUCCACAAAUUUUCCCCACAAGAAACGGACUAGCCAAUUAUAAACCAUUUCCUACAAAAAAAAAAAAAGGAUAGCCAAGGUUAAACCUUUUCCUAAAAUAAAUAAACAUAUAUAUGGUAAGAAACUCAGACCAAAUAAUACCCAAAAUUCACUACAUCAUGAAACAAAACAGCAAUAAAUAAAUUAAAGCAUACACACAUGCUAAGUGAUUUAUAUAUGCAAAUAUUCAUGAUCUGCAGUGAGCAAACUCCAUACAUGGACCAAAACGGCGUGGUAGUCGACUAAUAUAUAUAUAGUAUAUAAUAAAAAGCAAAAUAUACAAUAAUAUUUGACAAAUUAAAAAGUUAGUAUACAUAAAGUGUGCAAACACUACUUAAUAAAAGAUUCUUAUUUAGUUGCAACUUUUUCUGGUAUAUAUUUUCUCAACUUUUAGUCAAGUGGAGUCUUGAAUAGAUUUGAUCUUUCUGAAUUUCUAAUCAUACAAAAGGCAAUCUUUUGGGUAAUAACUGCAGAAAAAAUUACUUUCCUUGCAAGAAGAAAAAGGGGAAGAAGCAGGGUCGGACCCACGUUGGGUCCAGGGUAUUCAUCCGAACACCCUCGGCAAAAAAAAAAAACGAUAUAUAUAAGGUAAAUUUUUUAUAUUUUUGUAGAUACAUAUAUUUUGAACCCCUUAAUAACAAAUAAAAAUAGAUGGCUUAAUGGUAAGACCCUUGAAUAUUAAGUUGCACGCCCAAGGUUUGAAUGCCUUCAACAUUUAUUUAUUUUCCUUUAUAGUUUCAAGCAUUUUUUAUUCAAAGGACCCAUUUCGAAAGACUUAUUUACACGUUUAUAUUUUUAUUUUUUGAACCUCCUAAACAAAAAUCCUAGGUGCGCCGCUGGGAAGAAGAGUUUAUUAAAUUGCAAGAAAGUAUUGAAUAUAGCAAGAUCUUUGAUUUACCAUUAAUAAUUGAUUGUACAAAUUAGUGUUGUCAAUCUGUGUUAAGAAAAUCAGAAAUUACUUGUUGUAAUAAAUCAUUCAGAAACACGAAGUAACUGAGAUUUUUUAGAACCAGUAAAUAAGAUGAACAGAACUUUAUUUGUAAAAAAUAAUUUAAUCUGUAAAACUUACCAGAAUCUGCAAUACUCUUUCAGAAAAUUUAGGAAAAAAAUCAAGUCCACUGAAUUCACAGUGUCCCCUUAAGGAAAUUAUUUCCCUCUAGUAUCCGAGGUUUGAUUUGGAAUAUAACCUCCCAGGGUAAAAUGAUCUUAAUCAGUAGAGUAUAGAUACCAAAAACUCUACUGUCAGCGAAUCAAUCCACAGCAGGAAAGUACACGAAGAAAUAUGUGUUUUUAAGAAGAAGGAAGAUCAGAAAAUUCGUUAGUCAAUAUUCUGAAGACUGAAUGGUAUUUAUAGGCAAGAAUAAUAUAUUCUGAAAGGAUGCACGACCAUUAAUGAAAGGUUGCAAACUUUCAAAUGGUAUUGACUGUUCCUGAAAGUUGCAACCUUUCAGAACAGUGGCGGGAAUUUUUAAAUAUAACGGAAUUUAAAACGGGUCACGCGCGCGGAUCCGAGUCGGGUCGGGUUAACUAAAAAGUUGAAAACAUUUCGGUUAAUUUCUGUUAUCAACUAAUUAAUUGAAAAUAAUUUUUGGCCAUUUAAUUAAUUAAAUAAAUAAUUAAAACAAAUUUAUCCAAAAAAUUAUCUCUCGAUCGAUCAUUUGCCAAAGCCAAAGUCAAAGCGAGCGAUGACGACGACGGCGCGAGGGGGGUCCCUCUUUCCAACCCUUUUAACAAUUAAUAGGAGUGUUUAUUUAUUUAAACUCUCCUAUUUUCAUUUCCAUUACCGACGAGGGACUAUUGACUUUUUUAUUAAAGCAUUAGAGGACUUUUCAAAUUCCCAACCUUUCAAGUUCUAAACUUUUCAAAUUCCUCUCCUUCCCUCUAUUUCCCAUCAAUUCUUGCUACAUACCCAACAAUCCCCCACAUUGAUGGAGAAUAGUUAUAACAUAGGAAUGCACGGACAAUUGUGUACUUUACAAGCAAGGAUUAAUUGCAUCUGGAUAAGUAGGUUUCCCCUUGGACUUUCCGUAGUGAGCAUAUGUCGGAUAUACUCGGUCAAUCGGUAGAUGUGAUAUCUUUGAACCGUUGAACUUUGGUGUAUACCUAGACAACCAUAUGUCACACAAUUAACCCUUUACUGUUUAUGAUUCUUACGGUUGUGUUCUUUUCAGCCAUGAACACCUCCUGGUUUCAUGAGUGUAUAGAGAAUAGACUUUUGACAUAAAAAUCUCUUUGAAGCGGCUUCCACUUCACACUCACAUAGGUGAUUUCUAACCGUGUCAUCUCGUAGAUACACUAUUUGGUCGAAUCUACCAAACUUAGCAAAUCAUUAAAAUCUUUAAGCUUUAUUACCUCAUUAACAAGACUUAAAGUCUUAACCUUUUCCUGAACAUUAUCUUCAUCAUGAGAAUGGAUUGAGUUAAUUGACAAUGUCGAACCGUCAGCCACAACUUUGUUUUUCUCCUUGAAUCUAGCUCUUGGGAUCUCCAGUCCGCUAGAUAGAGUUACCGUCAUGCUGACUUGUCCUAAGCCGUAAACCCAUUCCCUUAGAUGAUCUUUCAACUGCCUCUCUCACUAGGCCUUUCGUUAGUGGAUAUGACACAUUAUCGCUUGACUUUACAUAGUCAAUUGUGAUAAUUCCAGUAGAGAGCAGUUGUCUUAUGGUGUUAUGUCUACGUCGUAUAUGACGAGACUUCCCGUUGUACAUAACGCUCCCUGCCCUACCUAUUGUUGCUUGACUAUCGCAAUGUAUGCAAAUUGGUCCAACAGGUUUGGGCCAGAAUGGAAUAUCCUCUAGGAAAUUCCGGAGCCAUUUCGCUUCUUCACCAGUCUUAUCCAAAGCAAUGAAUUCAGAUUCCAUUGUGGAGCGAGCAAUACAUGUCUGUUUGGAAGAUUUCCAAGAGACAGCUCCUCCACCAAGUAUAAAUACAUAACCACUCGUGAAUUUUACAUCAUUUGACCCGGUGAUCCAAUUUGCAUCACUAUAUCCUUCAUUCACAGCAGGAUAUUUAUUAUAAUGCAAAGCAUAAUGUUGUGUCCAUUUUAGAUAACCCAACACACGUUUCAUAGCCAUCCAGUGAGUUUGAUUCGGAUUACUAGUGUACCGACUCAGUUUACUAAUAGCACAUGCUAUAUCUGGUCGCGUGCAAUUCAUAAUAUACAUCAAACUUCCCAACACUCUGGCAUAUUCCAAUUGAGAGUCACUUUGACCUUCAUUCUUUUUAAAUGUACAACUUAAAUCAAUUGGAGUUUUGACUACAUUGAAAUUCAAGUAAUUGAACUUAUCCAAUACUUUUUCAAUAUAAUGAGAUUGAGAUAAUGCUAGUCCCUGGGGAGUUUUGAUAAUCCUGACCCCUAAGAUCAAAUCAGCAACUCCUAAGUCUUUCAUAUCAAACUUGCUGGACAACAUGCGCUUAGUAGCAUUUAUAUCGUCAAUUUCUUUACUCAUUAUUAACAUGUCAUCAACAUACAAACAAACAAUGACUUCAUCAUUCAUAACGUUUUUAAUGUAAACACAUUUAUCACAUUCGUUAAUCUUGAAUCCAUUUGCCAACAUUAUUUGAUCAAAUUUAGCAUGCCAUUGUUUGGGUGCUUGCUUGAGUCCAUAAAGUGACUUCACAAGUCUGCACACUUUCUUUUCUUUACCAGGAACUAUAAACCCUUCAGGUUGUUCCAUGUAAAUUUCUUCCUCUAACUCUCCAUUUAAGAAUGCUGUCUUUACAUCCAUUUGGUGGAUUUUAAGAUCAUGCACUGCUGCUAGUGCUAUUAAUAUCCUAAUUGAUGUUAUCCUUGUUACUGGAGAGUAUGUGUCAAAGUAGUCCAGACCUUCCUUUUGUCUGUACCCUUUGACUACCAGUCUAGCCUUAUAUUUGUCAAUAGUCCCAUCAGGUUUCAUUUUCCUUUUAAAGAUCUAUUUUGAUCCUAAAGGUUUAUUUCCUGGAGGAAGAUCAGUCAAUUCCCAAGUGUGAUUGCUUAAAAUUGAUUCAAUCUCACUAUUGACUGCUUCUUUCCAAUAAGUUGACUCUGACGAAGACAUAGCUGCUUUAAAUAUUUGAGGCUCAUUUUCAAGCAAUAGUGCUACAAAAUAUGGUCCGAAAGAAACAGAUUUUCGUUGUCGAGUACUUCGCCUAGGUUCCUCAGUAGUUAGAAUAAUUUCCAUUGAUUCUUCUCGUCGUCGUUUAGGUCUUUCACUUGUUGACUCACUUUCAGUUUUAUACAGAUAAAUGUUUUCAAAAAACUCUGCACUAUCUGAUUCUAUUAUCGUAUUAACAUGAAUCUCAGGAUUAUCAGAUUUGUGAACCAAAAAUCGACAAGCUUUACUAUUCACAGCAUACCCAAUAAAGACACAAUCUAUUGUUUUGGGUCCAAUUUUAACCCUCUUAGGUAAAGGAACCUCUACCUUGGCUAAACACCCCCACACUUUGAAAUAUUUCAAGUUGGGUUUUCUUCCCUUCCACAACUCAUAUGGAAUUGAUUGUGUUUUUUGAUGGGGUACUCUAUUGAGUAUUUUAUUAGCUGUAAGGAUGACUUCCCCCCAAAGAUUUCGUGGUGAACAAGAAUUGAUCAUUAAGGCAUUCAUCAUUUCCUUUAAUGUUCUGUUCUUCCGUUCUGCCAAACCAUUUGACUGUGGUGUAUAAGGUGCAGUAGUUUGAUGAAUAAUACCAUAUUCCAAACAUAUCUCUGCAAAAGGAGAUUCAUAUUCUCCACCCCUAUCACUCCGAAUCAUUUUUAUCUUUAGAUUCAAUUGGUUUUCCACUUCAUUUUAGUAUUGCUUAAAUGCAUCAAUUGUUUCAUACUUACUAUUAAGCAAAUAUACAUAACAAAAUCGAGUGCAGUCAUCAACAAAAGAUAUAAAAUACUUUUCCCACCACGAGAUAGUGUUGACUUCAUAUCGCAUAUAUCUGUGUGAAUUAAGUCUAAAGUUUUAGAACUUCUUUCAACAAACUUGUAAAAACUUACUUUCCACGCAAAUUUCAGAUUUUGACUUAUCGCAUUUAAAAUCAGGCAAUACUUCUAGAUUAACCAAUUUUCGCAAGGCUUUGUAAUUUACAUGUCCCAAACGGGCAUCCCAUAAAUCACUUAACUCCAAUAAGUAAACAGAAGCAGAAUUUUUAUUAAUACUGUCAAUAACCAUUACACUUAGUUUGAAAAGACCCUCAUUGAGGUAGCCCUUUCCUAUGAACAUUUCAUUCUUACUUAUUACAGCUUUAUGACUAACUAGGACACACUUAAACCUGUUCUUAACGAGUAGUGCAACAGAAACUAAAUUCUUCCUAAUAGUAGGGACAUCCAGAACAUUGUUUAAAGUCAACACUUUGCCGGAUGUCAUUUUCAACAUUACUUUUCCAGUUCCUGCAAUCCUUGCUGUUGCGUGUUUCCCAUGAAUAAAUCUUCAUCGUACUCAGCAGGAGUGUACGUUGCAAGGCUUCUUUUGCAGAGCAAAUAUGUCUAGUAGCACCCGAGUCGAGAAACCACUCCUUGGGAUUUCCAACUAAGUUACACUCUGAUAUCAUUGCACACAAGUCAUCUGCAUCUUCUAUUUUUUCCAUGAUGUUUGCUUGACUUUUGCCUUUGCCUUUGUAUUUAUCCUUUCUUGGAGCAUGACAAUCAGAAGAUCUAUGACCAGCCUUGCCACAAUUAUAACAGUUGCCUUUGAAUUUCUUCUUGGCCUGUUCUGACUUCUGCCCGUUGGACUUCUUUCUCUUUUUGUCUUUGGUAGGAGCUUCUUCAACAAUAUUAACUCCAAUGAUUGUUGAACUCUUACACGACUUCUUUUCGGCAUUUCUGUUAUCUUCCUCAAUCUUGAGACGAAUCACAAGAUCUUCAAGCUUCAUUUCUUUACGCUUAUGCUUUAGAUAAUUCUUGAAAUCAUUCCACGAAGGAGGCAACUUCUCGAUCAUUGUAGCCACUUGAAAAGCUUCAUUUACUACCAUAUCUUCAUCAAUCAGAUCAUGGAGAAUAAGUUGAAGUUCCUGCACUUGUGAUCCAACAGUUUUACUAUCUACCAUUUUAUAGUCUAAAAACUUUGCGACCACAAAUUUUUUCAAGCAUGCAUCUUCUGUCUUAUAUUUCUUCUCAAGUGCAUUCCACAACUCUUUUGAAGUUGUUAUUGCACUAUAGACAUUAUAUAAGUCAUCCUAUAAAGCACUCAAAAUGUAACCUUUACAUAGGAAGUCUGACUGUUUCCAUGCUUCAACAAUCAUAAAUUUUUCCCUGUCUGGCAUAUCAUCAGCAGGUACUGGAGUAUCUUCACUUGUAAAUUUCUGCAGACCAAGAGUGGUAAGCCAGAAAAAUACUCAUUGCUGCCAUCCUUUGAAAUUCACACCUGUGAAUUUACCCGGUUUCUCUGCUUGUGACACAAGAGUUCGGGUUGGUGCAGCAAAAGCCACUGUAACACCAGUGUUUUCCAUUUCUGAUAAACAAAAUAUAUACAAUAUAAGUAAGCAAUAAAUUAUAAUUGCAGACUUAAAGGAGUAUAAAUCACAAAGAUUUUUGUCUCCACCAGAAACACAGAUUUAUAUAAUUUCCUUAAGAUUGUUGCCAAUCUGUGUUAAGAAAAUCAGAAAUUACUGGUUGUAAUAAAUCAUUCAGAAACACGAAGUAACUGAGAUUUUUAGAACCAGUAAAUAAGAUGAACAUAACUUUAUUUGUAAAAAAUAAUUUAAUCUGUAAAACUUACCAGAAUCUGGAAUACUCUUUCAGAAAAUUUAGGAAGAAAAUCAAGUCCACUGAAUUCACAGUGUCCCCUUAAGGAAAUUAUUUCCCUCUAGUAUCCGAGGUUUGAUUUGGAAUAUAACCUCCCAGGGUAAAAUGAUCUUAAUCAGUAGAGUAUAGAUACCAAAAACUCUACUGUCAGCGAAUCAAUCCACAGCAGGAAAGUACACGAAGAAAUAUGUGUUUUUAAGAAGAAGGAAGAUCAGAAAAUUCGUUAGUCAAUAUUCUGAAGACUGAAUGGUAUUUGUAGGCAAGAAUAAUAUAUUCUGAAAUGUUGCAACCCUUUCAGAAUUGACACGACCAUUAAUGAAAGGUUGCAAACUUUCAAAUGGUAUUGACUGUUCCUGAAAGUUGCAACCUUUCAGAACAGUGGCGGGAAUUUUUAAAUAUAACGGAAUUUAAAACGGGUCACGCUCGCAGAUCCGAGUCGGGUUGGGUUAACUAAAAAGUUGAAAAUAUUUCGGUUAAUUUCUUUUAUCAACUAAUUAAUUGAAAAUAAUUUUUGGCCAUUUAAUUAAUUAAAUAAAUAAUUAAAAUAAAUUUGUCCAAAAAAUUAUCUCUCGAUCAUUUGGCAAAUCCAAAUUCGAAGCGAGCGAGCGACGACGACGGCGCAAGGGGGAUCCCUCUUUCCAACCCUUUUAACAAUUAAUAGGAGUGUUUAUUUAUUUAAACUCUCCUAUUUUCAUUUCCAUUACCGAUGAGGGACUAUUGCCUUUUUUCUUAAAGCAUUAGAGGACUUUUCAAGUUCCCAACCUUUCAAGUUCUAAACUUUUCAAAUUCCUCUCCUUCCCUCUAUUUCCCAUCAAUUCUUGCUACAUACCCAACAAUUAGUUGAGAUCGAUCGUUGCAAUCGUUGGUUUUCAACUUAGAAGCUUAGUCCUAGUAUACAUGAGUCAUCAAUUUGUGUCGAUUAUGACGGUGUACUUUUCAAUAAGACAGUUAUCAGCUCAAGUUGAUAACGUCUGUAUCGUUUGUACACAAAAUAAAAUGGAGUCUAGUUCAAGAUGGUUAGUAAUAGGUCAAUGUUUGAGCCUAUUUUACUCUCUAUUGUACCUACUUGUGGAAAACUGCUGAAAGAAAUAAUAUAAAGCAAUAUUUAUGGCAAAAGAGUAAGCUUUAAAUUUCAAACCUCAAGAACUUGUUGCCCAUGAUAUUCCAUGGUCAAUAUUAGAAAUGAAUGAACCACAUAUUAGAUUACUUCAACCGUGUUCAAAUUUGAAUAAGUCAACAAAUGGUUUUUGAAACAUUAUUAGGUAGGCCAAUAUCUCUUCAGUCUUGCUUAUCUGUACUUUGGUGAGAUAUUUUUUAAUUCUCACAAUUCUAUUCUUAGAAUCUGAAUCUUUCGUUGUAACACCUCACAAUUCUAUUUUUACAAUGUAAAUCUUCCGUUGUAAGUAUAUAACCUCGCACAGGUCUGCAUUAGUUCAUUGAGUGGACCAGGUUAGCUUUGUUGUAAUGUCAUUAGUAAUAUUUAUUGCAUAUGUUAUCUAUUUAUGAAGUUGUGCUUACCUAUUCACAUUCCAUAUAUAUGGAGUUGGAUGAUGAUUUUAUCAGUACAUCGUGAAUUUUGUAUACUUAUACUGCAUUUGUUUUUUCUUUGUUAACUACAUGGCAUAUUUUGAUGGGUCCAUGGCGACCUCAAUUAUGAGUCCAACAUUUCUUGAAUCCAAGGGUGAGUUAAUUUUUUCGAGAUGCUAUGUGUUCAUCUUUUCCCUGUGGUCUAUUUUUUGGAUUUAGAUUGAUUUCUUUUUUGGGAUUGCAUCCCAUAUUCUAGAUUUCAUAGAUAUUUAGGUACGCGAGUUUCGGGUUGUUGAGAGAGUGGGGGUUUCUGGAUGGUGGUUGAUACUUAUAAAGACUUGUUUUGCGUAUUGAAAAUGUUUUAAGUGAUCAAUUGCUUGUGAAUUAUUGGUUCUUCCACUGAAGAUUUAAUGUGGGUGCCUCUCAUGACGGGUUGGAUCGUGACACUUUGAAAAUGCAAUCAAUCUGAAUAUAAGAGAAUUUUUAUGGCUCAGCUGCCUGAAUAUUGCUUAUGUGAACGAAUUUCAAAAAUUACAAAUAUGACAUGUGAUUUAACUGUCUCGAAAAACUAUGCUUUUUGAAAAAAAAAGAGCUCUAUUUUAUGUAUUCGAAGGGAAAUGGGUGUUAGAUUUUGUAGACUACUAAAGAAAUUGUGAAGUUAAAGUAGUUGAUAGAGUUGAAGAUGAAGAUGGAGGAAAAAAAGAAUGCUUUAAUCAAGAAGAAGCUUUUGAGGAAGACAAUAAAAUAAAGAGAGAAAAAAAUUAAAUUUCUGUGGGCCAAUAAGAAAAUUCAUAUAUCUUAAUAAAAGUCAAUAUACAAAGAAAAUGAUAUUUAAAAUAUUAAUCAUAUAUUGACCUAUAAAAAAUGACAUGUGUAUUAUUUUAUUACAAAAAAUCUUUUUUAAAUUUUUCACACGCUAUUAGCUGAGUGAACUCAUUUUCUUUGACAUGUCAUCUCUUAUGAUUGCAUUUAAUUCAAUUUAAAGAUGUUAAAAGAAUAUUUAAACGUCUAAUUGUUUAAGUACUAAAAUAAAUUAUCCGACCAACAAUUUUUUAAAAUGUAUUUUCUCAUUAAAUAACGACACUAGUUCUAGAAUGGGUUCUCCUCCCCCGAUUUCCCGACAAAAACAUGUUAAAAAUCCCACUUCACAAGUUAUUACUCCCUUCAAUGAUUGUUGUAAUUUUUUUAUAAGAAUAUUUGGUAUAAUAUUAAUUGAAUUAAAUUUUAUGAGUAACAACUAUUUAAUUAUUAAAUAAAAACUAAAGUACUUUAUAGAUUUUUAGGACAUGGCCAGCUGCAUGUUUUCUGUUAGUAUCACAUGAUUGAUACAAGAACAUUACAAUAAUAACGUCAACUUACCUAACAUAUCAAUCAAUCAUCAAUCUAUAAAAACAACUAAAAAAAUGAUCAUGCCUCUGACAUCAAUAUCUGUUAUAUAUUAUAGUCAUGUUAUAUAUCCUACAAAUUAUAUCAGUAUCUAACCUAACUUUAUUUGGCACCUCCCCUUUCAAUAAAAGCUAUAAGUAUUCUCUCCACUUAUAGUGCACUUAUUUGUUACUACAAGGUACUUCUUUAUCUUAAUUCUUCUUAGUUUGUUUUUUUAGAAGAAUGACUAAAAAUUUCAAUUUUCAUAUCACGUGUAUUAAGAUUAUAAAAUUAAAUAUCAUUUUGAUAUAUUAUACAUAUCUUUAAUAUGAUAUCAUAAAAUUUAACUCUUUAAAUUCAGAUAUUAUUAAAUAAAUUUGAACAAAAGAAGUAAUUAUUUUUUAGAUAGUAUAUGUUAUACAUUUAUAAAAGCAUGGAAGCCCUCUAAAUCUAAAGACACAUAAAAAUAUUUUUUUUUUCUUCUUUUUUCCUAAACAGAUAUAUGUGUACGUGUAUAACCCCACCAGCAUGUUUCUUGUUAGUGGAUGGAAAUGGAAAUAAUUUUUGGUCUACACAAAUGCUGAGUCAAAUACACAUAUUAUACAUAAUGUAUUUUAUUAACUAUAUAUAUGCAUAUUGUCUCUUAGUGAAUGAAAUGUCUCAUUACCUUAUCGAAUCAUUCAAGAGGAACAAUCAUUAUGAUUAAUAUAGUGUAAUAUGUGAUGGAUAUCAUGUAAAUAUAAAUUAAAAAAUAAAAAAGCGACAGUACCUAUACUAUAUGUUAGGAUUAGCAAAAUAUUGUAGGAAUGGUGAUGAACACUAGGCCCAGGUCGUACUCAUGAAAAUCAGGCCUAGGUCGUAGUCCCUAAAAUCAAGUCUCAUCUAAAGAAUGAAGAGGAACAGGUCGCAGGAGUUGUUUCUAAAGUCAAAGUCGAUCCAAUGUUCAAGACCCAUCAUUCAGAUCAACGUUCUCAAUCAAGAAAGCCCACACACUCGUGUCUCAUUACAUUUCAUCAUAUUUUUGUACAUAGCAUAAGAUUAUUCUCUUAGAUGCUUCUUCUAGAAAUUGUAUGGGUGCACAAAGUUUGUUAGGAGUUUAUUAACCUCUUAGAUUAUUUUACGUUUCUGCCAUUUUAUAUUAGGAUAAAUAGCUACUUUUUGUUCAAUAAAAUUCACUCAAAAAAUUUCCUCACAUUUUUGUCUUUCACAGUUUCUUCUAAUUUUCCCACAAAUAUUAGUGACAGAACCUAUUCAAUGAGGAAUUUAGUAAAAUAUAUAUGUAACUUUGUUGCUUUUCAUAUUUAUUUAAUCUAAGAAAAACUAGUGGUUAGGAGAAUGAUUGAGGCAUAAAUCACUUUUAAAGUUCUAAUUAAUUAAUUAGCAUUUUUUCCAACUUGGAGCAAAAGUGCAAUGGUGAAAACGAAAUAGAGGACCAUCUAUCCCAAACAGUACGGUGAAGUGAUAGGAUUGCUCCUUUGUACUAGAGAUUUUGUGUUCGAGUUCUGGUGUGAAAAUAUUUUUGGUAGAAAGAAUUUUCUCCUAAAUGAAACUCUACAUGGCACAAAUUCAAAUUAAUUAGAUUUCAUUGUGAAUAUUAGAUGAAAAAAAAUUCAUCUUACUUAUUAAUGUCAACAGUCGGCGGACUACGCUUUACACUGAUGUGUACUUAUUACUUUAUUUUGCUAAUUGUAUAUUUUGAAGUGAAAUGAUAUUUUUGUGGUCGAUUACAAUUUAAAUAAAAGACAAUAACUUUUUUAAGUUCGUGUGUUAUUUAUAAAAGUAAAAAUAUCUAGUACAAUAUAUGAAACAACAUAAGAAAUUUAUAAAUAACUACAAAUUUGAAUGUAUGUAUAACUACAAAUUCCUUUCGGAGACAUGCGGGUGAAACAACGUUCUUCUUCUCAUGAUGUUUGGGCGUAACAAGAGGCCGCUUCAAGUAUUUGGCCACUACAAUUAAUUUGGAAACUAAAAUGUGUCUAUGUUUGUGUGUUUAAAAAUAUAUGAAUUUGUAUUUCUAGAAUAAAAGUGGGAACAUGUAUGUACUGUGAUUUCCACAAGAUCGAACAAGAAUAGUGUCAGGUCAUGAACACUAUAUAUGUACUAGUUUGUUUGUUUUCUAUUUCAAUGUGAUGUUCAAUAAGUAUCAUUAGAUUGAUUCAAAUAAUUUUACUUUUGAUAUCAUCUUUACAUGUUUUAGUCCAUGUGUUUAAACAUAGAUGCAUCCUUGGUCAUUCAUGAAAAAAGGGUUUAAGCAUGUAAGAUUCACUGAAUUCAAAAUUGAAUUAAGAUAACGUCUAUCAUAAACCUUAACCUCCCGAAGGCAAGCCAAAAUCCCAGCAACACGCAAUAAAUGUAUUAGAAAUAACUAACAUUGAAGUAAUAAUAAGAUCGGGAAGGGGUUCACUAUAUAGAUAUGUACAUGUAUAAUAAGUGCCCAAAAUUGACCAAGCAAGACAAAUAUAUAGAAGAAUCAAGUCACAUGCCACCGAUACAAGAGCGUCUAAUGUACAACUUGUAAUUCUAUAUAUAUUUACCCAGUGUGACAAAAUAAGAUACAAAACAUAUAGAUUGUACAAAAGAGACAAAUCACCAAGUCUUUGAAAAGUAUGGAAGCAAUUCUAGACAUCUUUCACAAGCAAUUCUAGACAUCUAAUUUUCUACAAAAAUAUGGAAGUUUCUAAGUACAAAAUAUUCAGAAAAGUAACUUUCUCUCUCCAAAAAGAUUAAUUUAUAUAUUUCUAAAAUUUGGCAAAAAUUGCAGUUCAUAGCACACUCGGUGAAUUUAUUCGGGCUCGACGAGCUGGUUGAUGAGUCACCGAUUUCUCCUUUUUAUCGCCCUCUCACCAUUUAAACGAAACUCCUGACGUUCAAAAUUCAAUCGUAUUUGUAAGUCUUAUUAAGUCGUCCGAGUUGAUUCAGCGAGUCGCCGAUGUUAGGAAAAGCUAUGAUUGUAUAGUAAUCAUAAAAAAUUUUCUUUCUUAGAAUAGGACUGAUUUACAGAAUAUACAUUUUGAACCAUAUAUACUCCUUCCUAGAAUAGAACUUUGACCCUACAAUUGUAUAGCUAUAAAUUUGUGGCUAGUGUAUCAUCAAUAUAUUGAGAAUACUAUUUUUCAGAAUAUCGUUUGUCUUUCAAUCGUAUCGCCAUGCUCCUGAACAACUUGGUUACUCUCCAGGAAAAUUUGGGAAGUCUUAUACCAUUCAUAACACACUACAUUUUGUUGAUGUACCUACAUCUUACUCUUAGGCUUCUUGAUACCAACCCACCUCUCAAGACGUACUUUAGAACAAAAUAUCGACAAAAUAAUAAAGAGUCGAAUUCUGGACAAACGACUACUGAGCAUUUGCCUAUCAGUUAUUAUUCUUAGAUUACAGUUUAUAGUUUCAGCCUUAUCCUUUUAUUUUCUCUAUAUACAUGUAAUCAAGAUUAGUUAUUAGUAAUAUGUAAUUAAGAAUCAACAUUAUUAUUUUCUCGAGUCUUGUCCUCUCCAUACGGGCAACUUUAUAUGUAUAGUUGUGUUUAAGAUACUUACACAAACUAUUUAAGUAAAUCUACUUGCUUUGUUCUAUUUUGUCAAUUCUUUACUUUUGGGUACUAUCAAUUUUGUUAUUAGAGCAGAUUGAUCCAACAUGGUCAAUACCAGAUUGUCGAAUUCCCGAGAAAGCGUACUCAAUGUUGAAUCUCUUACCCAACAAUUAUUUGUCAUAGAGUCAAAGUUAAAUACGAUUGACUCCCUGGAAGCAUAUGUUGCAACAUUGAAGGCCCAGACUAGUUACACUCAACAAGAAGAAUCCAAUCAAAGAAACUGUAAUAAAGGAAAGUCUGUAUGGUAAGAUGAGGAAGAAGACAUUGAUAGUCCAUCUUGGCCAAAAACUCCUUUUCAAAAGCCAUACACAAAGAUGGAAUUCCCCAUAUUUGAAGGAGAUGAUCCUAGAGGGUGGGUUUUGAAAGCAGAAAAAUAGUUUUGCUACUAUCAAACUCACGAGGAAUAUAAAGUUGACAAUGCGGCGAUGCAUUUGGACGGGUAUUCUCUUGAUCUCUUCUCUUGGAUAAAUUCUGAGCGAACUUUGUUUUAUUGGGAAGAACUUGUUAAAGCAUUGCAGGAAUAUUAUGGUCCUGCAGAGAUUAAAAAUCCCGACGAGCACCUUUGUAACAUUCAACAAACAAGUUCUGUACAGGAGUAUCGUCAAAAAUUUGCAAAGCAUUAAUCUAAGGUGAAAAAUUGGCCAGAUCACUGUCUUUUGGGGGGGAUCACUGUCUCUUAGGGGUGUUCCUGAAUGGGUUAAAAAAUGAACUUAAAUCUGAUGUUAGGAUUCACAAACCUAGAACUCAAGAUAAGAUCAACAUGAGUUCUGCACCUUCACUCGGACAUGGUAAGGGUCAACACAUCAACAGACCUCCACUAUUCAAUGGACAAUACUACUCAUGGUGGAAGGCAAGGAUGGAAGACUUCAUUCAAGCUGAAGACUACGAAUUAUGGGUAAGAAUUACUAAGGGACCACUAAUUCCUACCAUCACUGAUAGUGAAGGAAAUAAAGUACCUAAACCGGCAGAUACAUAUAAUGAUGCAGAU